rnacentral:rRNA from 1 species
GGGACGUAGUGCCCGGCGGCCGCGUUAAUACGUAGGGGUCGAGGUUGUUCCGGAGGUACUGGGCGGAAAGCGCAUGCAGGCGGCUCAGUACGCAUGGCGUGAAAGCCCCCGGCUGAACCGGGGAGGGUCGUCGUGUACGGGUGAGCUUGAGGGUAUCAGGGGCUGGUGGAAUUCCCGGUGUAGUGGUGAAAUGCGUAGAGAUCGGGAGGAACACCUGUGGCGAAGGCGGCCAGCUGGGAUACACCUGACGCUGAGAUGCGAAGGCGUGGGGAGCGAACGGGAUUAGAUACCCGUGUAGUC